UCUUUCCGUCCGCCCGCGGGGCUUCCGGGGUGCUAACGCAGGGGAGAAAAUAGCAUGCGCUUGACCGUCGGCGGGGCUUGCGCCCAGGAGGUGCAGCGGAGGGUGAAGGAGUAGGAGCCGGAUCUGGCGGCUCCUCGCCACGCUUGAGGACCGGACCGCCUCUGUCACAAUUAACUACUUGGGAUUCUCCUUCGUUAGGUGUGAUUUGGUUAUUGUAGUGAAUGGGAGGAAGGAGAAGAUUCCCUCCGGCCUCCUAGUCCCCUUGGUGGCGCACCUCAAGGCAACCCAGGAGCAGAUUGCCAAGGGAGGCUACACCAUCCUCCUCCAGCCUAAUUUGGAUUCUGGAGGCCGGUGCACCAUUGUUCACCAAGGGCACCAUUCAUAGUGUUGGCAGGUUCGUCCAGCACAUCGGAGGUCCUGAAGCAGAUGACAACCAUUGAGUCCAAGAUACUGCAGCUCGAGGAGACCAUCGCCAUCCAGAGCAAUGAAAUCUGUAGAAGGCCAUGAUGGGAAACUGGUGGACUCCAUGAAGUCUCCACCUCUGCGUGUUGAUGUCAAAUCCCUUCUCCAAGGUAACCAGACAAUCCUCUUCAUACAAAUUUGCAAGCUUUGUUUCUCAAGUCUCCACUCACCCGCAUACAAUAUUUCAUUGAAUUUGUGAAUUUUCUCCUGAACUAAUAGAGCCAGUUGUAGGUCAAAAUGUUGUGAUGUGAGGUAAAGGAAAUAUUUAUGGAGGGGAAAUUUACUUUUACAAAUCCCAUAGAUUACCUUUAUCUAAAUCAUGUGGUCCAUUUUCAGUUAUGAGUAGCAGUAGUACUACAUGAAGAUUAUGAAUUAGGUAUGAUUGUCUUUGCUCUUUAAUUCAUCAGUACCUGAGUACAAACUCAGUAUCUCACUUUUACCAUGUGAUGACACGACAAUCGUGGGGCGAACGUGAUUGAACCUUAUAAGAUGGCCUCAAGAACACAAAGAUCUAUUUCAUUUUAUUUCCCAGGACCUUUUAAAUACUUAUGCCAAAAAUUUAAGCAUAAAACAAUGUCUGCUAUAGAUACCUGUAAAUGUCUUUCUUUAGAAUGUCUAACCCUUAGUAUAUAAUUCCUGGAAAUAAAACUCUAAUAACUCUAUCUGCGUUAAAAUUUAGACAUUAUUUUUUGGUUGUCGAAUAAGGUUUCACAACAGUGGUAGAAAUAGUUCAAACUUGCAACACAAGGACGAACAUGCUAAUCUCAACUUUUUCAAUAGUGUUGCAGUAAACAUGGUUGUUCCCAGUUGAAUGGAUUUUAUGUUUUUUAAGAGGAUUCAAGUUUCUUCUUUUAUAUGUGUACUCAUGCAAUACAAUUUGAUUGAAUCGUUACUGAAAUUUGUUUCAGUACUAAUGCAUAACUAUGUAAUGAUAUCUAGCUUGAACAGCUCAAGUAUGACGCAUAGGAUACAUGCUGCAUAUGCUGAUAUCUUAUGCAUUACUUCACAUUUAUUAUAGUUAUCACUUUUGAUCUAAUACUCUCUUUCAUCUUAUACAUGAUGUUACUUGCUAUAUCAGUUAUGUUGUCAUGACCGGGAAGUUUUCUUUUCUUUACGCAACGCAGGUGGUUACUGAUUGGUUGACAUCUCAAUUUGAACCUUAUUUUAUUCGUGCAAGUUAGCAAACACCAUUUUCCAUGCUGGUUUGUUUGGGUAAGUCUUUCCAUGUAUCAAAUGGAAAGUCACAUGACAUUCUUACAUAUAUCUUUCAGCUAAGUUGUUCUUUACAAAACAAGCAAACAAAAAUGAAAAUAUAAUUACCACAUAUCCCCGUUGCUGCUCGUACGUAGUAUUUAGUAGGAGUAUAUCGUUAAUGGAUAUUGCCACUAAUUUAAUCCUUGUUAGGACUCUUGUCCUAUGAAUGUGAUGCCUCCACAAAAAAUGUCCAGGUGCACUAGGCUAAUGUAAUUCUUCAUUGUUUCCAAACAUGGUGGCCCAUUGUGAGGGCAUAUUUAUCCCCAAGAUGUUUUGGUGAUUGAUGACAA